rnacentral:tRNA from 14 species
GGGUCGUUAGCUCAGCCGGUAGAGCAGCGGACUUUUAAUCCGUUGGUCGCCAGUUCGAAUCUGGCACGGCCUACCA